CACCACAACAGGUGGAGCCUGCGGUUUAAUCGGACUCAACGCCGGGAAACUCACCAGAUAAGACAGCUGAAUGAUAGUCGGGCUGAAGACUCUACUUGACUAGCUGAGAGGAGGUGCAUGGCCGUCGUCAGUUCGUACUGUGAAGCAUCCUGUUAAGUCAGGCAACGAGCGAGACCCACGCCAACAGUUGCCAGCUCGUCCUCCGGGAUGGUGGGGACACUGUUGGGACCGCCUCUGCUAAAGAGGAGGAAGGAAUGGGCAACGGUAGGUCAGCAUGCCCCGAAUUAUCUGGGCUACACGCGGGCUACAAUGGGUGGGACAAUGGGUAUCGACACCGAAAGGUGAAGGCAAUCUCCUAAACCCAUCCGUAGUUCGGAUUGUGGGCUGCAACUCGCCCACAUGAAGCUGGAAUCUGUAGUAAUCGCGUUUCAAAAUAGCGCGGUGAAUAUGUCCCUGCUCCUU
rnacentral:rRNA from 1 species